CCUACGGGGGGCAGCAGUGGGGAAUAUUGCGCAAUGGGCGAAAGCCUGACGCAGCGACGCCGCGUGAGGGAUGAAGGUCUUCGGAUCGUAAACCUCUGUCAGCAGGGAAGAACGGUCACUGUGCUAAUCAGCAGUGAAUUGACGGUACCUGCAAAGGAAGCACCGGCUAACUCCGUGCCAGCAGCCGCGGUAAUACGGAGGGUGCGAGCGUUAAUCGGAAUUACUGGGCGUAAAGCGCUCGUAGGCGGUAUGUCAAGUCAAGGGUGAAAGCCCCGCGCUCAACGUGGGAACUGCCUUUGAAACUGGCAAACGCGAGUGUGUGAGAGGAUAGUGGAAUUCGAGGUGUAGGGGUGAAAUGCGUAGAUAUCUGGAGGAACAUCAGUGGCGAAGGCGACUAUCUGGCACAUAACUGACGCUGAGGAGCGAAAGCGUGGGUAGCAAACAGGAUUAGAUACCCGAGUAGUC
rnacentral:rRNA from 1 species